rnacentral:rRNA from 1 species
CCUACGGGAGGCCGCAGUAGGGAAUAUUGCUCAAUGGGGGAAACCCUGAAGCAGCAACGCCGCGUGGAGGAUGAAGGUUUUCGGAUUGUAAACUCCUUUUGUUAGAGAAGAUAAUGACGGUCUCUAACGAAUAAUCACCGGCUAACGCCGUGACAGCAGCCGCGGUAAUACGGGGGGCGCAAGCGUUACUCGGAAUCACGGGGCCUAAAGCGGGCGUAGGCGGGAUAGCAAGUCAGAUGUGAAAUCCUAUGGCUUAACCAUAGAAAUGCAUUUGAAACGGGUAGUCUAGAGUAUGGGAGAGGUAGGUGGAAUUCUGGGUGUAGGGGUAAAAUCCGUAGAGAUCAAGAAGAAUACUCAUUGCGAAGGCGACCUGCUAGACCAUAACUGACGCUGAUGCGCGAAAGCGUGGGGAUCAAACAGGAUUAGAUACCCGAGUAGUC